rnacentral:ncRNA from 1 species
AUUAUCGCAAUGAAGAGGACAGUAGAUAUGUCACUUUAUUUACAGAGAGAAAGCAUAGUAGCUGAAAUUGCUUUUAAAUAAAUCAUGUUGAAGACCACCUCUGAGUGACUCUAAUAAAGUCCGUUAACUACGUUAUAGUUUUUAAAGUGGUCCUUUAUAUCACUUUGUUAAGUUAGUUAUCUUUAUACUCUAAUUUUAAUAAGUUAAGGACAAUUUGGGUGGAACCACGGGUAUACCUCGUCCCUUUU